rnacentral:rRNA from 1 species
AUUGAACGCUGGCGGCAUGCUUUACACAUGCAAGUCGAACGGUAACAGGCCUUCGGGUGCUGACGAGUGGCGAACGGGUGAGUAAUGCAUCGGAACGUGCCCAGAGGUGGGGGAUAACGCAGCGAAAGCUGUGCUAAUACCGCAUGUGAUCUGAGGAUGAAAGCGGGGGACCACGCAGCAAUGUUUGGCCUCGCGCCUCUGGAGCGGCCGAUGUCAGAUUAGGUAGUUGGUGGGGUAAAGGCCUACCAAGCCGACGAUCUGUAGCUGGUCUGAGAGGACGACCAGCCACACUGGGACUGAGACACGGCCCAGACUCCUACGGGAGGCAGCAGUGGGGAAUUUUGGACAAUGGGCGCAAGCCUGAUCCAGCAAUGCCGCGUGCGGGAAGAAGGCCUUCGGGUUGUAAACCGCUUUUGUACGGAACGAAAAGGCUCUGGCUAAUACCUGGGGCUGAUGACGGUACCAUAAGAAUAAGCACCGACUAACUACGUG